rnacentral:misc_RNA from 1 species
UGUCCGAGCGUCAUUAUCACCACUCAAGCUCUGCUUGGUGUUGGGCCGUGCCAGUAAUGGCAGGCCUCAAACGCAGUGGCGGCGCUGCUGGGCUCCGAGCGUAGUACAUUUCUCGCUUUGGUGUCCUGCAGAUGACGACCCAACAACCCCAACAUCAUCAGGUUGACCUCGGAUCAGGUAGGAAUACCCGCUGAACUUAA